rnacentral:rRNA from 1 species
CAAGCGAAAGCGUUAAGUAUUCCACCUGGGGAGUACGCCGGCAACGGUGAAACUCAAAGGAAUUGACGGGGGCCCGCACAAGCGGAGGAACAUGUGGUUUAAUUCGAUGAUACGCGAGGAACCUUACCCGGGCUUGAACUCAGGGGGACGACGGCAGAGACGCCGUUUUCUUCGGACCCCCUGGGAGGUGCUGCAUGGUUGUCGUCAGCUCGUGCCGUGAGGUGUCGGCUUAAGUGCCAUAACGAGCGCAACCCUCAUUCUCGUUUGCCAUCGGGUGAUGCCGGGCACUCCGGGAAUACUGCCAUCGUAAGAUGUGAGGAAGGUGGGGAUGACGUCAAAUCAGCACGGCCCUUACGUCCGGGGCUACACACGUGUUACAAUGGGCGGUACAGAGGGCCGCGACCACGCGAGUGGGAGCCAAUCCUCAAAGCCGUUCUCAGUUCGGAUUGGAGUCUGCAACCCGACUCCACGAAGCUGGAUUCGCUAGUAAUCGCGCAUCAGCCAUGGCGCGGUGAACACGUUCCCGGGCCUUGUACACACCGCCCGUC